UACGUAGGGUGCAAGCGUUGUCCGGAAUUAUUGGGCGUAAAGAGCUCGUAGGCGGUUUGUCGCGUCUGCUGUGAAAUCUGGGGGCUCAACCCCCAGCCUGCAGUGGGUACGGGCAGACUAGAGUGCGGUAGGGGAGAUUGGAAUUCCUGGUGUAGCGGUGGAAUGCGCAGAUAUCAGGAGGAACACCGAUGGCGAAGGCAGAUCUCUGGGCCGUAACUGACGCUGAGGAGCGAAAGCAUGGGGGAGCGAACAGG
rnacentral:rRNA from 1 species